UUUUUAUCUUUCAGGAAACUUUGAAGCCUUAGAAGACUUGAAACAACAACUAAAUAAAGAAAAAAAACUACUAAUUGUAUCCGAACGUCUAGCAACAAAAAAUUAUGGAACAAACUCACGCUAUUCGUGCAAGCAGAAGUUUUGCAUUUUUUGCAAAACUCUCAAAACUAAUUUAGCACGUCAUUUUGAAAUUUGUCACUCAGAAGAGGCAGAAGUAAGAAAAUUCUUAAGUUUCAAUAAAGGUAGUCCUGAACGUUGCGAAAUUAUAGCAAAUCUACGAAAAAGUGGCAAUUAUAAUUACAACAAGAGCAAUAAAGAGAAUCCC